GACGAACGCUGGCGGCGUGCUUAACACAUGCAAGUCGAACGGAAAGGCCCUGCUUGCAGGGUGCUCGAGUGGCGAACGGGUGAGUAACACGUGGGUGAUCUGCCCCUUACUUUGGGAUAAGCCUGGGCAACUGGGUCUAAUACUGGAUAGGACCAUGCUGUAGGUGGUGUGGUGGAAAGAUUAGUUUCGGUAAGGGAUGAGCUCGCGGCCUAUCAGCUUGUUGGUGGGGUAAUGGCCUACCAAGGCGUCGACGGGUAGCCGGCCUGAGAGGGUGGACGGCCACCUUGGGACUGAGGUACGGCCCAGACUCCUACGGGAGGCAGCAGUGGGGAAUAUUGCACAAUGGGCGCAAGCCUGAUGCAGCGACGCCGCGUGGGGGAUGACGGCCUUCGGGUUGUAAACUCCUUGCAGCCAUGACGAAGCCCUUGUGGUGACGGUAGUGGUAGAAGAAGCACCGGCUAACUACGUG
rnacentral:rRNA from 1 species